rnacentral:rRNA from 1 species
AGAGCUUGCUCUCGGGUGACGAGCGGCGGACGGGUGAGUAAUGUCUGGGAAACUGCCUGAUGGAGGGGGAUAACUACUGGAAACGGUAGCUAAUACCGCAUAACGUCGCAAGACCAAAGUGGGGGACCUUCGGGCCUCAUGCCAUCAGAUGUGCCCAGAUGGGAUUAGCUAGUAGGUGGGGUAACGGCUCACUUAGGCGACGAUCCCUAGCUGGUCUGAGAGGAUGACCAGCCACACUGGAACUGAGACACGGUCCAGACUCCUACGGGAGGCAGCAGUGGGGAAUAUUGCACAAUGGGCGCAAGCCUGAUGCAGCCAUGCCGCGUGUGUGAAGAAGGCCUUCGGGUUGUAAAGCACUUUCAGCGGGGAGGAAGGCGUUAAGGUUAAUAACCUUGGCGAUUGACGUUACCCGCAGAAGAAGCACCGGCUAACUCCGUGCCAGCAGCCGCGGUAAUACGGAGGGUGCAAGCGUUAAUCGGAAUUACUGGGCGUAAAGCGCACGCAGGCGGUCUGUCAAGUCGGAUGUGAAAUCCCCGGGCUCAACCUGGGAACUGCAUUCGAAACUGGCAGGCUAGAGUCUUGUAGAGGGGGGUAGAAUUCCAGGUGUAGCGGUGAAAUGCGUAGAGAUCUGGAGGAAUACCGGUGGCGAAGGCGGCCCCCUGGACAAAGACUGACGCUCAGGUGCGAAAGCGUGGGGA